rnacentral:rRNA from 1 species
GAUGAACGCUGGCGGCGUGCCUAAUACAUGCAAGUCGAGCGAACAGACGAGGAGCUUGCUCCUCUGACGUUAGCGGCGGACGGGUGAGUAACACGUGGAUAACCUACCUAUAAGACUGGGAUAACUUCGGGAAACCGGAGCUAAUACCGUAUAAUAUAUUGAACCGCAUGGUUCAAUAGUGAAAGACGGUUUUGCUGUCACUUAUAGAUGGAUCCGCGCCGCAUUAGCUAGUUGGUAAGGUAACGGCUUACCAAGGCAACGAUGCGUAGCCGACCUGAGAGGGUGAUCGGCCACACUGGAACUGAGACACGGUCCAGACUCCUACGGGAGGCAGCAGUAGGGAAUCUUCCGCAAAGGGCGAAAGCCUGACGGAGCAACGCCGCGUGAGUGAUGAAGGUCUUCGGAUCGUAAAACUCUGUUAUUAGGGAAGAACAAAUGUGUAAGUAACUAUGCACGUCUUGACGGUACCUAAUCAGAAAGCCACGGCUAACUACGUG